AUAUUCUAUAUUUAAUAGUUAUGUAAUAUACAAAUGUAGAAUUUUGACUUCUCUUUUCCGCUAUUGGUGACUUAUUUUCACUUGAUCUGUAAACCAAAUCACUGUACUGCCAAACAUCUCAAAUAUAAUAUUAAAGGGUUACUCCAACCACCAUUACUAUUUCUUUUUGAAGUGUUCAUGGUGGUAGGAGUCUGGAUGUGCAGUAUUUCAGCUUGAAAGACUGAACAUCCGGUGUAAUUUUCACUUGUGUGCUGUAGGUAAGUUGCACCACAAGCACACAUCACAUUGGCAGCCCAAAACUCUGUACCCGGCCUACCUAAUGUCAGUUCUGUGCAAAAAAUAAGUCAGUUGUAGAGCGCACUGCACACAGGUGAAAAAAUUAUACUGCUUCUUGUUUUCCCUCCCACCCACACUGAAGGAAGCCCUCCCUCCUCCCAAUCCCAUCUGCAAUUUUUUUUAAUCCCCACCUUCUCUCUCGCCCUCCCUUUGCUUGCUCAGAGCAUGCGCCUUGAGCCGGUAAAAUAGUCCAAUCAAAAGCUUCUCAAUGAAAAGCCUAUGAUUGGUCCUUGGUGCAGUUCUUGUGAUGUCAGAUGGUGGAGCUUCACAUGGGGCUGGAUUAAGGUAAGUACAUUUUAUUUUAAAACGCUCUCUGAGCAUUUUUCUUGAGUAGACUGAUAGAAUAAUGCCAAUAGGACAUUAUUCUAUCCUAAAUGAAAAAGGUUUUCGAGUCUCCUUUAUUUUCUUUCUAAAUUCUUAAUGUCUCUAACUGUGUGAUCUUUUCUGGUUAAAACCUUUGUGUAGAGCAAAGACAGAAACCUGGAAUUAAGUAGCAAAUCAAGUAAGUAUUGUUUGAGCUUCUCAACAUGAGGUUAAUGUUUCUGCACUUUGUUAUUGUGGCAAACUCACUCAUUUAAGGGAGUUUACCAUGAGUUCUUGGAGGGGGCUGCUUGCCCGCCUCCUGCCUUGUGACUAUGGCCCCUGUGUUAAACUCUGGUUCAGGACUGGAGAGAGACUGUUGUUCAUGUGUUUUCCCUGCACUGCUUCAUUGAAUAGAGCUUGUUGAAUGGAUUAUGCUAAUGUUGUUCGAACGACCAACCACCCUGCAUGUGGAGUGUGCGGCUUGUUAACCACCCAGAAGUUGUGGUUAACCGCAGCUUAAUUGGCAAACCGCUGGGGGGUCGGCGUUAGUAUGAACGAACACGUGGCGGCGGCCAUUUUGUUUAGCAGAACCCGCUCAGCGGUGUUUGGUCGACGAACUCCUGGAACUGUUUUCGGCUACUAGUUUUACGAACACCGCUGAGACUUCUACCUUCCGUGCGUUCGGCUAAAACCAUACGAACGGAGCACUAUUUUAAGGGCAUGAACUGUCGAACGAGACCAUUACAAUGAAAGUAUGCACGAACAGAUCCGUUCGUGCAAUCUGUACUUUAAACAAAUGUGAAGAUAGACCGACUGCACAGCCUAAAUCAAUGGAACCCUUUUGGGCAUAAAAGCCAUACUUGCGGUUGGUCAAAUAUGACUUCCAGCUAACUCCCGAAUGGCUAAACGGAUUCGAAUGAUUUUUGGAUAUGUUUGUCCCCUAUGUGUGCUGAUUCUGAAAAUGUAAUGAUGUUUUAUAUGAAUGUGUUGUAUAAUUGUGGAGUUAUAGAAAUUGGGUAAAAAUGUGUGUUUAAACUGUACAGUUAAUUAUGUUAUAUCCCAAGCAGAGGGGAGGGAAUGUGUGGGUUGUAACCAUUGUUUGAUUGGCUAAUGUAUAAUUGUCUGUGGUUGUCUCCCUUGCAUGGAAGAACUGCAUAAAAAGAG